ACGUAGGGGGCAAGCGUUGUCCGGAAUGAUUGGGCGUAAAGGGCGCGUAGGCGGCCUGGUAAGUCUGGAGUGAAAGUCCUGCUUUUAAGGUGGGAAUUGCUUUGGAUACUGUCGGGCUUGAGUGCAGGAGAGGUAAGUGGAAUUCCCGGUUGAGGGUUUAAUUGCUGGUAGCCGGGGAGGAGCACCGGUGGCGAAGGCGUCUAACUUGAUUGGAACCGACGCUGCGGCGCGUAGCUGUCGGGCGCAAACAG
rnacentral:rRNA from 1 species